UCACUGGGUAGCCGGACUAUGGAUGUGA
rnacentral:piRNA from 1 species